AGUGAACGCUGGCGGCAGGCCUAAUACAUGCAAGUCGAACGGCAGCACAGCAGAGCUUGCUCUGUGGGUGGCGAGUGGCGGACGGGUGAGGAAUACAUGGGAAUCUGCCCAGUCGUGGGGGAUAACGUAUGGAAACGUACGCUAAUACCGCAUGCGCCCUACGGGGGAAAGCCGGGGACCGCAAGGCCUGGCGCGAUUGGAUGAGCCCAUGUUCGAUUAGCUAGUUGGCGGGGUAAAGGCCCACCAAGGCGACGAUCGAUAGCUGGUCUGAGAGGAUGAUCAGCCACACUGGAACUGAGACACGGUCCAGACUCCUACGGGAGGCAGCAGUAGGGAAUAUUGGACAAUGGGGGCAACCCUGAUCCAGCCAUGCCGCGUGAGUGAAGAAGGCCCUCGGGUUGUAAAGCUCUUUUGUCCGGAAAGAAAAGCAAUCGGUUAAUACCCGGUUGUUCUGACGGUACCGGAAGAAUAAGCACCGGCUA
rnacentral:rRNA from 1 species